UACGAAGGGGGCGAGCGUUGUUCGGAUUUACUGGGCGUAAAGGGCGCGUAGGCGGCCCUCCUUGUCGCGUGUGAAAGCCCCGGGCUCAACCUGGGAAUCGCGCGCGAAACGGGGGGGCUUGAGUUCGGGAGAGGAGCGCGGAAUUCCCAGUGUAGAGGUGAAAUUCGUAGAUAUUCGCAAGAACACCAGUGGCGAAGGCGGCUCACUGGUCCGGUACUGACGCUGAGGUGCGAAAGCGUGGGGAGCAAACAGG
rnacentral:rRNA from 1 species